rnacentral:tRNA from 1 species
UUUAGGGAGACCUAUACCCCUCAAGUAUCAAAAGCCAGCGUGCAAAUAGAUCAUGAGAUGGUCAAACCUAGGUCGGUCGCAAGAAAAAUUGUCAGGCUUUCAAACUAUGAUUGGUUCGGAUUGGGGCUAUUAGCUCAGGUGGUUAGAGCGCACCCCUGAUAAGGGUGAGGUCCCUGGUUCGAGUCCAGGAUGGCCCACCUGAACAAGUAAAAAGAGCAAAGUAAAAAGUAAAAAGAAAGUAUUUAUUCUUUUGACUUUUGACUUUUAACUUUUGCCUUGAGUCUGGGGGUUUAGCUCAGUUGGUAGAGCGCCUGCUUUGCAAGCAGGAUGUCAGCGGUUCGAGUCCGCUAACCUCCACCUGAAAAAAGAGAAAGGAAAAAACUCAGCAACAAGGCGAAAGCCAGACUGCUGGGAUGAAUACCAGCCAGAACCUUGAAAACUGCAUAGAAAAGCGAGAAAAGUAGGCAGUCAUGAGUCGGAGGUCAGAAGUCAUGGGUUUUUAGCCAUGGCAAAUGAAGAAAGACUUGUGAACAAAAGCAGACACCAAAUGUUUAG